UGGACUCUUGCUAAUUAAAGUAAGGUACACGGAAACAGAACAUCAACAUCAUCCUAGAACUUGUUAGAAAUGCAGAAUCUGGGGCUCCAUCCCAGACCUUCCAGGAAAAGCCUCUUUCCUCUUCUUCUGGGUUGGUGCUAGGCCUCCCAGAGGAGCAAAUCAUGACUGAUGGGGAGAAGAAGGCAACACAGCUUCAAAGACCUGCCCCAAAUCCAUCAAAAACAGCUGGAUUAAUUCCCAGAGAAUGGAGUCAUUUUCCUGAUGGGAACUCUUAGCACUGAUUGGAAGGAGGAGAUUAGCGGGCUUUUCA